UCCGAAAUUGCUCGUACAACAUUCAUCGGUUGAUGGCCAACACAUCACCUAAUCAUGUACAACUUCCGUAACAGGACUUGUUCAUCUCAACUAGAAACCGGUGUCCAAUCCUCUGAAAUGGCAGGGUUACAACCAGCAUCUCGCAAGGAUGCAAAUAUACCAUAAAAAGGAUUAGACCUCCGUACAACAACAAUACUAGGCAUAAUACCUGAUCAUUCAAGCAAGCCACACAACUUGCCUUCGUCAAGAUUAGCUGCACACUAAAAUCACUCAAACUUCGCACACAUUCUCAUAUUUACAGAACUUAUUGUCCAAUCCUCCCUCUAACC
rnacentral:lncRNA from 1 species